AUGGAGUCUGCGGCGGCGAGCGCCUUCCUGAGGACCGUGAUGGGGAAGCUCUUCCAGGUGCUGGAGAAGGAGUACAACAAGCAGAAGGGCCUCCGGCAGGAGACCCUCUCCAUCCAGCAGGACGUCCGCAUGAUCGCCGCCGCCAUGGACGACAGCCUCCACGCCCUGGGCCGUGGCGAGCGCCGCACGGCCGUCGCCAGACUGUACCGGGAGGAGAUGCUUGGCCUGGUGCACGACGCCCAGGACUGCAUCGACCGCAUCCUGAAACGCCUCACCUGCAGGCCCCGCGGCGGCGGUGGAGUGGCGCUGGUCCGCCGGGUCGCCCACGAGAUCAAGAAGGUGCAGAGCCGCUCAGGCUUCGCCGACGAGAUCCGGAAGCUCAAGGCCCGCCUCAAGCAGGCGCACGAGCGCGUCGUCGGUAUCCCCAUGGCCGCCGCUGCCGCCACCGUCUGCCACGAUUUCGCCACGGCGGCGCCAUUGUAUCGCGUGGCGCGCAACCCGGUGGGCCUCGGGAGGCCGGUGGAGGAGCUCCUCUCGCUGCUGGACGAGGUGGAGGGCGAGCCGGAGCAGCUGAGGGUGAUCUCCGUGGUGGGGUUCGGCGGCCUGGGGAAGACCACUCUCGCGAGGGCGGUGUACGAGGCCCCUGACGCCGUGGAGAAAUUCCACUGCCGUGCUUGGGUUUCCGCCGGUCGGUGGUCGCCGGAGAACAACGGCGGCGGGGUCAGGGAGAUCCUGCGCGAUCUACUCUGGCAAGUUCGUCCCAAAGACUCCAUGGAUGUUGUUGCUGAUGAUGGCCAACGUAUGGAAGCCUUGCUCAGUGAAUACCUCAAGGAUAAGAGGUACUUAAUUGUCAUACACGGCAUCGUGAUGGAGCAAUGGAUGCAGCUAAAGUUCAUUUUCGAAGACAACGGCAAAAGCAGCAGAAUCCUACUGACCACAGCUAUUCAGUCAACAGCUAAAAGAUGCAGCGAUGACAAUGGUUAUGUGUACCAACUGAACACACUUGGUGAAGAGGACUCCAAGGAAAUAGCUCUUCAGGGGGUACGAUCACCUGAGCUGGAGCAGGGCUCGACGGCGCUGCUGAAGAAAUGCGGCGGUCUUCCACUUGCUCUUGUCAGUGUCUCUGAUUUCCUGAAAUGUUCAGCUGAGCCUACAGGGGAGCGCUGUGCAAAACUAUGCCGCAACCUGGGUUCUCAUCUGAGAGAGAAGGAUGACUAUGACAACUUCACGGAGCUGAGAAAGGUGCUGAUGCAUAACUAUGACAGUUUGUCUGUGUAUGAUAUGACCUGCUUGCUAUACCUCGGUGUGUUUCCUAUCAAUCGUCCACUCAAGAAGAAAGUUGUCAUCAGGCGGUGGUUAGCUGAAGGAUACGCACGGAGUGAUUCCCUUUGCAGCGAAGAGGACAUUGCAGAUAAGACUUUCGAGGAGCUUAUUGACCGGAACAUCAUCCAGUCUAUUGAUACAAGAGACAAUACACAAGUGAAGACGUGCAGGACUCAUGGCAUUAUGCAUGAGUUUGCGCUACACAAGUCCAUGUCACAGGGGUUCAUCGCGACAUCGUCUCGUGAUCAUCCAAGACCAAGUGCCUAUGUUAAUAAUGUUUACCACCUUUCUAUCCACGGUGGCAAUCUGACAGAUAGUGAGGCAUCUGACGUGGAUAUAUCUCGUGUUCGGUCUUUGACAGUCUUUGGGAAAGCAGGUGAUGCUAUUUCUCAUGUCCGUAAGUGCAAACUGCUGCGAGUCUUGGAUCUGGAAGAAUGCAGUGAUCUGGAAGACAGUCACCUCAAACACAUAGGCAAACUGUGGCAUCUGACAUAUCUAAGUGUUGGGGGCACUAUUGGGAAGCUUCCGAGCAGCAUCGAUGGACUACAUUGCUUAGAGACCCUGGAUUUAAGGAGAACCAAGAUAAAGACAUUGCCCAUUGAGGCUAUCAUGCUGUACCACUUAGCCCAUCUGUUUGGAAAGUUAACGGUUGACAGAGACGAUCUGAACAAUGCAAAGAAGAUGACCAAAGUGAUGAAGUUCUUAUCUGGAAACAAGAGUAACCUGAAGACUUUAGCUGGUUUUGUCGCGAACGAGAGGCAAGGGUUUCUUGAACUUAUGGUUCACAUGAGAAAUCUGAGAAAGGUUAAGAUAUGGUGUGGCCCAGUUGCCAAUGGAAGUAACUACACCACAGAUCUUUCGGAGGCCAUUCAGGAAUUCACCAAAGUCCCCAUGGACAGUAUGGACGCCCGUUCUCUGUCACUUGAUUCAGAAGAAUGCUCCGAAGACUUGCUGAGUUCGCUUGAUUUCAAGCCAUGCCCUGAAGAUUCCAAAUAUGAUGUAAGGUCGCUCAAGCUACGUGGCAAGCUACUCCAGUUACCCCCAUUUGUUCCCUUGCUGUCAGGUCUGACUGAACUGUCUAUUUCAUCAGCUAUUUUGACAAGGGAUCUUCUAUCUGCUCUGCUCAGUUUGAGCAACUUGCUUUACCUCAAGUUGAUCACUAAUGAGCUUGAGAAUUUUGAACUGAGAUCAGGGGCAUUCCCAAGCCUGCGGCGUCUGUGCUUUGUGGUGCAAAGUCUCACUUCAGCUCUGCCAGCAAUCAAACAAGGUGCUCUGCCGUACCUUGUCUCACUCCAGCUGCUUUGCCCAGGUCUAGUUGGUCUUUCGGGCAUCCAAAUCAGACACCUCAAACAUCUCAAGGAGGUCACCAUUGACUCGGGAGUGCCUGGCGAAACAAGACAAGACUGGGAGCAAGCAACAAAGAACCACCCGAAUAGGCCAAGAUUCAUGUUGCACAAAAGUGAUGUUCGAGUGGAAAGCGAGGGACCGGGGAAUGAAGAGGCUUCAGCCGUGAGGGAGAAGAGGAAGAUAUGUGUAGUCCAACCAAGUUUGGAUGACGGACUGGAUUCUAGUCUCAAGAAGAUGAGGCUUUCAUCAGACUCUUCUUCGCGUCUUCAAAUGAUUGUCCAUACGAGUCCCACUAUGCAGCUAUGA
rnacentral:rRNA from 1 species